UAGUGUUGCAGCUCUUUUAGAAUUUGUCUAGCAGGCCUUCCAGUUUUUGCUGGGAAGUCCCCA
ensembl:snRNA U7 U7 small nuclear RNA